GUUUACGGCCAUGCCACCCUGAACAAGCCCGAUCCCGUCUGAUCUCGGAAGCUAAGCAAGGUUGGGCCUGGUUAGUGCUUGGAUGGGAGACCGCCUAGGAAGACCAGGUGCUGUAGGUG
rnacentral:rRNA from 1 species